CUUCGGUGGUGUAUAAAUCCGGUGCGCCACAUGCGCGUGGUCUUUCCUGUUCGCUAUGGCGGUGCUUCUCUUCACUCCGCUCCAUAAACGAUCAGCACUGCUGUUACAGGCUUAUUCCUCUUUCAAAGUGCCCUGAUGGCGCUCGUGUCUUCCACUGCUCCAGACUGAGGCCUUCUGUGUGUAACCAGAUCCUAUAGAUCACUGUGUUGGUGCACGGCUGAUGUUUACGAUUCAUUAGACACACAGCCAUGGUGUGCUGAACUAAGUGGUGUUCCUGGUCUCUGAGACAUGUAGUGUAUUCCUAUGAUGGACUGUUAGUGCUAGAGAAACAAGGUUGAUGAAAAUGCUGACUUUCCUUUUUGUGAAGGAUCAAGGAAGACUGACAAAGUAAUUUUGUAUUGUACAAUACCUGAACAUUUAAAAAAAUAAAGUUGCAUUUUGGAGUUUA